AUGAGAACGCGAGAAGAUGGCCGUGAAAGGACGAUUACCGUGGAUCACUUUCAACGUAUAAAAAGAGCGCGUUUCUUGCACUAAUUCAGAGCAGUUCUCCGCUUGCAAUCAGUCUUCAACUCCCAAAAACUUCCACUAAAAAAUGUACAAGGUUUUCGUUUUCCUCGCUAUCGUCGCCGCUGCCAGCGCUAUGAACUUCGGCUUGGGAGCUCCUCUCCUCUCCAAAGUCAACUACCAGCCAGCUGAGUACACUCACGUCCGACCGGAAGUGACAGUUCAGCAGCCGGAAUAUAAAUACAAGAGCGUGCCUGUUCCAGUCCCAGUUGCCCAGCCGUACUACACCGCUCCCGUUGUCCGCAACUUUGUCGCCGCUCCCCAGUUUGCCGCUUACCCCGGCUUCGGUGGCUUCCCAUUCGGUUAUUAAGCGAAAAUUUUUAUGAUUCCUCCACGUACAUUGUUUCUAUACUCUUCGACCCUUUGAUCGCAACAAUAAAAAAGAUUUUUUAACGA